GGCAUCAUGGCUUAGUGGAAAGAGUGUGGUCUUGGGAGUCAAAGGACGUGGGUUCUAAUCCCAGCUCUGCCA
rnacentral:tRNA from 1 species